AUCAGGUAGUAACAGAGAGUUCGAUUAUGGCUCAGAUUGAUCGCUGGCGGGAUGUUUGCGCACAUGCAAGUCGAACGACAGCACAGACUUCGGGUCUGGUGGCGAGUGGCGAACGGUGAGUAAUGUAUCGGAACGUGCCUAGUAAGCGGGGAUAAAUGCUACGCGAAAGCGUAGCUAAUACCGCAGCGCCGCCUUCGGGGAAAGCGGGGACUUUCGGGCCUGCACUAUUAGAGCGGCCGAUAUCGGAUUAGCUAGUUGGUGGGGCAAGCUGCUCACCAUGACGAUCCGUAGCUGGUUUGAGAGGACGACCAGCCACACUGGGACUGAGACACGGCCCAGACUCCUACGGAGGCAGUGGGGAAUUUUGGACAAUGGGGGAAACCCUGAUCCAGCCAUCCUGCGUGUAAGUGAUGAAGGCUCUCGGGUUGUAAAGCACUUUGGCAGGAAAGAAACGGCACGGGAUAAUACCCUGCGCAACUGACGGCACCAGAAUAAGACCGGCUAACCACGCCAGCAGCCGCGGUAAUAUUGCAGGGUGCAAGCGUUAACGAAUACACGGCGCGGAAGCGCGUGCAGGCGGUUCGGAAAGAAAGAUGAAAUCCCAGAGCUUAACUUUGAACUGCAUUUUUAACUACCGGAGCUAGAGCAUGUCAGAGGGAGGUGGAAUUCGGGCGUGUAGCAGUGAAAUGCGUAGAUAUGCGGAGGAACACCGAUGGCGAAGGCAGCCUCCUGGGAUAAAAUACUUGACGCUCAUGCACGAAAGCGUGGGGAGCAAACAGGGAUUAGAUACCCCAGUAGUCCACGCCCUAAACGAUGCUCGUAACUAGCUGUUGGGGCCUUCGGCCUUGGUAAAGCAGCUAAUCGCGGUGAAGUUGACCGCCUGUAUACCGGUCAAGAUUUGCAAACCCAAAGGGAAUUGACGGGGGACUCCGCACAAGCGGUGAUGAUGGGAUUAAUUCGAUGCAACGCGAAAAACCUUACCUACCCUUACAGUCUGGGAAAAUCCUAAGAGAUUUGGGAGUGCUCGGUAAGAGAACCGAACACAGGUGUUGCAUGAAUGUCGUCAGCUCGUGUCGUGAGAUGUUGGGUUAAGUCCCGCAACGAGCGCAACCCUUGUCAUUAGUUGCUACGAAAGGGCACUCUAUCGAGACUGCCGGUGACAAACUGAGGAAGGUGGGGAUGACGUCAAAGUCCUCAUGGCCCUUAUGUAGUGGGCUUCUCACACGCCAUACAAUGGUCGGGACAGGGUUUUCAACCCGCGAGGGGGAGCCAAUCCCAGAAACCCGAUCGUAGUCCGGAUCGCAGUCUGCAACCCGACUGCGAAGUCGGAAUCGCUAGUAAUCGCGAUCAGCAUGUCGCGGUGAAUACGUUCCCGGGUCUUGUACACACCGCCCGUCACAAUUCAUGGGAGUGGGUUUACCAGAAGUAGUUAGCCUAACCGUAUGAGGGCGAUUACCACGGUAGGAUUCAUGACUGUGGUGAAGUCGUAACAGAAGGUAG
rnacentral:rRNA from 1 species